UACAGAGGGUGCAAGCGUUGUUCGGAAUUACUGGGCGUAAAGGGCUCGUAGGCGGCCAACUCAGUCGGACGUGAAAUCCCUCGGCUUAACCGGGGAAUGGCGUCCGAUACUGGAUGGCUUGAGUUUGGGAGAGGGAUGCGGAAUUCCAGGUGUAGCGGUGAAAUGCGUAGAUAUCUGGAGGAACACCGAUGGCGAAGGCAGCCCCCUGGGUUAACACUGACGCUCAGGCACGAAAGCGUGGGGAGCAAACAGG
rnacentral:rRNA from 1 species